ensembl:lncRNA
UCGAUGGGAAGGGUGUGUAAUAUGAGCUGUACACUGUAGUUAUGUGAACAUAUUUCUUCUCUUUAAUUUCAUUGUCAUGACAAGUUUUGGAUAUUGAACUCAUGUUUAUAUGUUUUCAAAAAUUCACUUUAUAAAUGAAUCCACUGUCUUGACUACUUAUGACUACUUUUGAGUUGAAACAAAAAUGAUCAAGUUGAGUUUACUUGGAUUUUUAAGGCAGCAGAUGGACUUUUGUUUCUAAAUUUAACCAACUUGAAAUGUCUUACAGUGUAGUGGAUGGGAGAGGUCAGAGGAACAGCACAGGUUCCCAACCUUCGACCUGGAGUACCCUCUGUCUUAACUAACUGGCUAACAGUUUCCUGAGCUGAAAUCCAUGGUGCAGCAAAUGACGAUGAGAAGAAGCAAACACAAACAGUAAGCCAUGCUGACUGAACUAUCUGAACUCUAAGGAACACUUGUUCAGGCAUGAACUCCAAGCCCUGACAAAAAUGGAAACAACCUCCAAUGUCAAAACUCAUUUACUCAAAGAAAGCGAAAUGAGUUUUCUUUUUAUUCCUUCCGCUCGCUCUCGCGCGCGCACGCUCUCUCGCACGCUCCGCACACACACGAAAUCUCAGUUUUGCACCCGCCCACAUACAUGUCCAAAGGCACGUGCACCUUGCUCUCAGUCACCUGCACUGUGUAGCAUUACUGUUAAAACAAAUAACGCUAGCCGCGACUUGUCAUAUCAAAGCUUGUAUUACAAAGUGUGUUUAUAUAUUAUGUGGUGUCGGAGGAAGCUUGACUGCUAUUGUGCUGUACGUGCGUCAUCUUGUUUCGGUUUUAAAAUAAAAAAAUAAGUGAUGGCACAGCACAAUAACAGGCUGGUGGCUCGCUUCUAAAACCAUAAAAAUUCCUAAAAGGUAAAGCUCAGAACUCUCUGAGGAAGAAGAGGAAGUUGUUUUCUGUCACAUCUAUGCCAAUAAAUAUGGAACCAAAUUACAGAAAAGGUGAAUUUGAUAUGAAUUAGUUUAAGUGAUAUGAAAAGAAAAUGGUUUGACAUGUAGGAAAAUAUAUAUCUCCUGUACCCAGGUAGCAGUGGACACCAAGCAUAUCAUGCAGGGAACUGUUGUUGUUAUUAUUAUUAUUAUUAUUAUUAUUAUUAUUAUUCUGCUUCUUUUUUCUUCUUCUUCUCGUGUCUAUGGCAGCCCAUAGGGGACCGUAUGUAGGAACGUUAUGAAAUACCACACAAAUAGGGGACUGUUUGAUCUCUUACCACAGCAAAUUUCGAGUCACCAUCUCAAACCCUUUAGUGCCACCAACAGGUCAAAAUUGCAUCACAUUUAUGCUAAUACCUUUUGAACUGUAGGAGCUAGAAACAAUCUUUCUGCCUAACAAAAUGUUGAAUGUUCUGAAAAACCUACUUUUUCAAACUCCUCCUAGACCAGGGGUGUCCAAUCUUAUCCGGAAAGGGCAGUUGUGGGUGCAGGUUUUCAUUCCAGCCGAGCAGAAGCCACUGAUUAAACAGGUGGAAUCAGGUGUGGCUCCAGAUAGGUUGGAAUGAAAACCUGCACUCACACCGGCCCUUUCCGGAUAAGAUUGGACACCCCUGUCCUAGACCGUUCAUCCAAUUUCCACAAAAUUCGAAAGGGCUCAUCUUCAGACUAUGCUGGCAAAAAUUUAUCAAAAGCUUUUUGAUAGACCAAACCGUUCUCAAACAACGCACAACUGAACCCGACAACAAGCAUGGCAAAAUUGACAUGAGGCUAUAUCCCCAAAACGAUUUAGCCUAGUCAUACCAAACUUAGUAUAUGUCAUAGCCAUCAUGACUUGAGGGUACCUGUACAAUUUCAAAUAAAUGCCACCUAAUAGUCAUGAGGUAUGAAAAAGCACAUUUUUGCUUAUAACUUAUGAAUGGUUUGUCCUAACUGGUCUCUAUAGUUUCAAUUGGGCAUAAUAAGUUGUUUGAUAUUACAUUUUAGUAUGUCAGCCAAUUUGAAUUUAGUCUUAAACGCUGUAUUUUAUGAAUGAUUUGGAGUAUUGUUACAAAAAUUGGUAGGUCUCAUCAGGACCACGCCCCAAAAGUAUUUAAAAUGUUUCAGGACAGCACCUCCUUGUGGUAAACAAUUGUAAUCCAAUUGCAAAAAAUUCUAAUACCUUUUGAGUACUUUUGUACAUUGGCAUGAGAUUGAUCUUAACAGAUUCCCUGGGUAAUGCAGAGAACAAGGAUACUAAUGAUGCCAUGGUAGGAUAAAAUUCCUGUCCGCCACUACUUUUUCGACCUCAUCCUAUAUUGUUCGUCCAAUUUUGACAAAAUUCGUAAGAGAUCAUCUUCAGACCAUGUCGGCAAAAAUGUAUCAAAAACUUUUUGAAAAGCCAAACCGUUCUCAAAUAAUGUGUGGACGAAUUCAAUGAUGAUCAUGCCAAAAAGGAUGCGAGACUAUAUCUCCGUAAUGCAUACGGUGUGCAACUGUCUGUUUUUACUUCAUUCAGGAACUUGCUUAAAAGAUAAUAACUGGUGUAUUGGUAGUGUUACCACUUAACAGUUUCAAGCUCCUGGGUUUUAGCCUGUGUUUGGGUGGCUGUGUGGAGUUUGACUACUUUUUCCCCAAAUUUCCCUUUCAGGAUCAGUAAAGUACAUCUAUCUAUCUAAGCUUAUGUUUGUCAGUGCUAGACAAUUUCCAAAUUAGUAUCAAUCACUUGAGAAGGUGACUCAGAAAUCCGCAGUUAUACCGUCAUGGACAUUAGAGCGAUCCUGAAAAAGGUGGUCAGUUUCAUUGCCAGCCAAUCUGAGAGACCAGGACAUGUUCAAGAUUGAUAAGCUUGUGAAUAUCCUAAGGCCUGAACUGGAGAAAGAAAGAAAAAAAAAUCAAUAUCCUCUCUCUAAACAAUCGGUGUGUGUUUCUUGUUAUUUCUUCUCACCUGCCAAAAAAAAGCAUGCUGGUAGGUUUACUGGCAAGGCUAAAUUGUCCCGAGGUGUCAGUAAGUGUGUGAAUGUGUGGGCAAUGAACUGGUGUCCCAUCUGGGAUGUAUUAACACCCAGUGCUCCUAAGAUCCAGAUCCAGAUACUACAACCCUGACUCAGAAAUUACUAAAGGGAAAAAAAAAUGAAUAAACACAGAAUAAACAUUCUGACUACAGAGUCCCCUUAAAGGGAUAUUGCACCCCAAAAUGAACAUUCUGUCAUCAAUUACUCAGCCUCAUGUUGUUUCAAACCCAUAAGACUUUUGAAAAAAUUUUGAAACCUGGGAGAUUUCUGUCCCUCCAUUCACAGUCCAGUAACCAAAACUUUCAAGCACCAAAAAGUUAACAAACGAGAGAACCAUGCAUGCGUGUUGUGUUGACCCGAAAUCGGAGGAAAAAACGCAUCAUUGUUACAAAGAUUGUUCUGUGUGACUUAGUUUGUGUACAGCGUCCAUCUUCCUCUAUUGUAAAUAGUGUAUACCAAGGGACCUGGAAGCGCUGCCCUUUUUACAGCAUAGGAGGAGGGACAUGCAUGCGUUGUGGUUCUCAAGUGUACAUGCGUCGGAGAUCUAUGUGAAAGUGAAGAUGUUUUGUGAAUAAAGACUUCAUUUUAGUUUUUUUGUACACACAAAGCAUGCGCAUCACUUCAAAAAAUUGGGAUUAAACCACUGGAGUCACAUGGAUUACUUUAUGAUGCCUUUAUGAACUUUUUGGGGCUUGAACGUUUUGGUUACUUCGACUGUAAAUGGAGGGACAGAAAUCUCCCAGGUUUCAUUAAAAUGUUUUAAUUUGUGUUCCGAAGAUGAACGAAAGUCUUAUGGGUUUAGAACAACAUGGAGGCGAGUAAUUGAUGAUGACAUUUUCAUUUUUGGGUGAACUAUCCAUUUAGGGUCCACUUCUUUGUGGCUAAUGUGCAACAGAUGGGCAUUUUGUGUGGAAUGCAUCAAACAUCAUACUACAUCAUACUGUGCAGCACUUUUAUAUAGAUUGUUAAUAUUUAUUGUUCAUUGUCCCUCUUUGAACAUGUUUAGCACUUACAUUUAUCUCAU